GCCAGUGCGACGCAUAUGUCCAGCAUUUGUCACUUCUGUUCCUGCAAGACAACCUUUCAACUUUGACCUUGCAAGCCAGAUUGUCAAGGUUUUUAACAUCUUUCCAAAUGCCAUGCGUUCUUACAGGGAGAUGGCACCAAGCGGUGAGACUAGAGUAGCACAGCAGUCUGGGGAAGUCUCGGAGAGUCGAAGUAGUUGCGUCGAUCGCACAAGGCAAAACCGGUUUGGGGUUGCAAAAAAAUUAAGGGAGCUCAGCAAAGUGCUGUCCACUGUCAGCGUGGAUAUAGGGGGAGUUAACGAAAUGAUCGAUGAUGACGUUGACCAUUUGUCCAAUUACUUGGCGCACUUAAGAGGACGGCGAGUCAGGAUCGCUGGGGACCACCGAAUUCGGGCUUUGGCCGCGCCUCUGUCGGGAGACGAACCCUGCGCGCACAAGAAUGAAGCACAUUUAGGGCGCGACUUUGGGGAAGAUGCCCUAUGGGUUGCAUAUGGUGGUGAACACACAGUUAUUGUAUUCAAGGACAAGACUUGUACAACCAGUAAAUAUGGUAGUCCCCUAGACUCAAGUGUAACUGACGAUUAUAGAGGGUGCACAAACCAGAGAACAAAAGUAAAGGAUUGCCACAGUUCUUUCUAGGAGUGCACCGCCCAGUGACUUGCUUGACAGGUCUCACGAAUGUGUUCGCAUUAGCCUCAACAUCCACAUGAAAGCAGGCAGCCAAGGCGCAGCACUGAAAGGGCCCUGUGAUGGAGUCGACAGUCUGCCACGCAGCUGGGCAGAGGAUGUUCAGAAUGCUGCAGUGGUGAGCAGGGACGGCUCUGCUCAGGCGCGUGCAGCAGGGAUGCAGGGGGCAGAGAAAGUGAGCCCAAACCCAGUGGAUUGUGAGAAAGAUCAGGAAGAGGACACUGCGCCAGAGAGCACAGCUUUAUCACAAAGAUCACACAGUGCGCAGAGCUCUCAGAAGAACAUACGACGAUUUCCUCACAUAAUAUGCUUCACCACUCUAUCUUGUAUUUUAUUGGUGCUUUCUUUCUACUGUAUUUGUUACCGGAGUUACAUUUGCUUCGCGACACAGUAUUUCACCCCUAAGGGAAUGAAACCAACAUAAGUGUAUGUAGAAUAAAAAUCAGAGCGUUGAAGUGGGCU
rnacentral:lncRNA from 1 species